rnacentral:lncRNA from 1 species
UUCUUCUUAGUUUUCUUGUUUCUUUUGUGUUAAUGUUGAUUCUAGUGAAGAAAAUCGAUUUAAUGAAUCAAUGUUUGAUUUAUGAAGUUGUUUAUGGAUCACUGUUUAUCAAUUGUUGUGAAAGAUUGAUGAUGUAUGGAAGUUUCCAGUCAUUGUUUAUUGCAAGGUUGUGAGUUCAGUGGAGAGGAAUUGUAAUCGAAGAAAUCAUCUCG